AUAUUCAGACUUCUCUUUAUUCUCACUCAGAAAAUAAUCAAUUGAACUAGCCGACACAUCUUCAUCGUUUCACCACCAGCAACAUCUUCGUCUCCGCCACCACCAACUUCAUCGCUUCCAUUAUCAGCUAUGUCACUACCUAAACCACCACAUAUAGCACCACACCCAACUCUCCUCCGCUUUCACCCAUCACCGCCACCACAAUCAGUAGAAAUUUCUCUCGAUCUACUUUUCUCUCCUCCGCUUUCGCCCAUCACCGCCACCACAUUAAGCACCGUUUCUCCGCCGCCGUAACCAACACCAACCUUCAGAUUCAAAAACCAGGUUUGAUAAUCACCAUCAAGAGUUCUAUAUCAACAUCAACUUCUUCUUUUUCUCGAUUUGUCACUGAUUUUCAAUAUCAGAUUUAGUUUCAGGAGAUCGAGAGAUCUGAAUUUAGGUUUCAUUUUCUGGUAAUUUCGAACUAAAUACUCGAAAUUUUAAUUUAUUGAAGCUUAACAACUACUCGAUUUGAAGAUGAUUCUUAUUAAUCUGAGUUCGACAAUACAAAAAAAAAUUGAAAAACUUUAAUCAAAGAAUUUAGGGUUCGUUAGGAUGUUUCAAUUUCCGAAUGUAGGUUCUCCUUCUCAAUUUCAUGUUUCAAAGUUUACUACUGUAUGAGUUCGGAGAUUAAUGGAAUUAGUGGUUUGUUUUUGUAUAUAGCCCAACUUCUGAAGCUUUAAUUCCAGUUCGUUUGGAUAUUGAGAUCGAUGAGAAUCGAUUCAAAGAUUCAGUUAGAUGGAAUCCAACCAGUAAAUCUCUAUUUUGGAUUGAAAUUUGUUUUUAUUUAGUUUCCAUCUUGCUAAUCUUCUGAAUUUGUUCUCAAUAAUGUUGAAAAAACCAGAUUCUGAAGUGAGUAUGUGUAAUUAGUAAUGGUUGUGGGUUUUACUGUAAGUUUUGACAUAAUUCAAGGAAAUACUGAUGACAGAGUUGAAGUUAGAUGAAUGUUAGGUUGCUGCUGCAAUAAAGGAAAAUGGUGGUACUUCAGUCUCAGAUGGUGUUGAAUUGGUGAUUGAUGUUGCUGCAGUGGGAGGUGGUGGUGUGUUACAAGAGAUGAUGAUACUGAAAUUAGUCUUGAAUUGAUCUUGCAGAUGCAUUUUUGGUGUGUGGUUCAAGUGGUAAUAGAAUGGUAAUAUGCAAGCAGAAGUUUGAGCUGAAUUGCCGGGUUAGACGAAUGGUUGGCUUCUUGAUUAAUUGGAGUGUAGGAGAUGAUGUUAUUAUAGCCAAAGAUGUGUGUGUGCAAGAGGACUUACUUGUUCCAUUGUCUUGCAUUCAACUUCCUCAACGACAAUGGAUUAGUAAAGUGGAGGGAUUAUUCUUCUGCUAUGAGUGUGAUUUAACGGUUGUGGUCAUGAAGAUGUUGCAGGUAUAGUUUGCAGUAGCAGAGAUGAAGGAUAUGGUGUUUGUCUGGUGGUGGUUUGAAUUGUUGGUUGAGCACUGAUGGUGUGGCGAACCUGUGGUGCAAUGGUAGCACAACUGACUAUAUGUCAGAAGAUGUGUGUUCGAGUUAUUUGUGUAUAAUUUUUAUGUUUUUGGAGACAAUUUGUGCUAGUUGCCUCCAUAUCUGAAGACAACUUGGGCUAGUUGCCUCCAUAUGUGGAGACAACUUGGGCUAGUUUCUUUCACUUUUGAAGAUAACUUUGUGCUAGUUGCCUUUACUUGUGAAGACAA